rnacentral:lncRNA from 1 species
AAGAAUGAGAGUUAUGAUCAACUCAGUAUACCACUGGAGGCUACAGGAGCAAACAGCAAACUGUUUCUCAUGAAAGCAGGAUGUUCAAAGCAGGAUGUUGGCAAAAUGACAAACUGCAUCUGCCACCCAGAAGGAAUGCUGAGGGCAGUCAUGCCCCAAGUGCAGUGUUUUUGUGAUUAGGCACAACUGAAGCUUGUUAGCAAUAAUAUGACCCUGUGAUUAAUUGAGCGGCUGACCAAUCAUUACCUCCUCCUCCCUGCUCUUUCUACCCAAUAAAUACAAAGGGCUGUGGAAGCUCAAUGGGCUGCCUUUGCUCAUUAGAAGCAGGGAGCUCUCUUCUUCUUCCCCUGGAUCCUUCCUUUAAAAUAGUUUCUUUUGUCUUAAGUUUUCAUUUCUACGUUUGUCCCUUCAUUCAGUCUCUUAAAUGACGGUCUCAAGCAGUAACAGUAGUAAUUGCUGUAAUGACGGUCUCAAGUAGUAACCAGGGCACUCUGCCACAAGUGGCACCUGAACAGGGACUAACAGGGACUAUCAAGAACAAACGGAGACCUGAAGAGACCUGAAGGGAACUGAAGAGGUCUGCAGGGACAAAUAGAGAUAAGUAGGGAUAAAUAGAGAUAAAUAGAGACAAAUAGAGAUAGGUAAGGAAUGACAGGGACUUGCAGGAAGUAACAGGGACCAUAGGGACAGAUAGGGAUAGAUAAAGACUAGCAAAGACUAGCCGAGAUUAGCAAAGACCAGCAAGGACUAGCAGAGACUAGCAAAGACUAGCAGAAACUUGCAGGGACAGGCAGAGACAGAUAGGGACAGAUAGGGUCCUACAGGGACUUGAACGAGGAAGAUCUGCUGGAAAAGAAAAGAACUACAACCAACCAGAUGAACAAGAAACCCUGUUACAAGUCUGCUGGCAGCAACAUAAGGUGUGUACUACCAUGGAAUGGGAGAUUGGAGGGACACAUGGAUCCCAACCGUGGGCCUGGUUCCCCCAGUAUGAGCUGAAUACGAAGACAGAACAAACCACCAACCGGCAAUUGAAGUAAAUGAUAGCUCCUUACAAAUACAGAGGACAAAAUAAAAGUGACUUAAUUAUAAAAACACAGUGACACAAAGUGAACCGGGUUCUAUAAAUUACCAUGGAAAGUGGUGAGCCAACGAUUUGGCAGAACAAAACCCUGAGGAUAUGCAAACAAAAGGGACUAUGGAAUUUGCAAUUGCAGAUUAAAAUUGAAGAAGAAAACAUUUGAGUUGCAAAUACCGUAUUAAAAGUGGACACUGCUUAUGACUGCUGUAUGCAACAGUUUUUCAGGCCCGAGGUGAUAAAUAAAAAAUUGUUUGCUCUAUUUAA